rnacentral:rRNA from 1 species
GACAGAGGGGGCAAGCGUUGCUCGGAAUCACUGGGCGUAAAGGGCGCGUAGGCGGGAUGGCAAGUCGGUCGUGAAAUCCUUCGGCCCAACCGAAGAACGUCGGCCGAUACUGCCGUUCUUGAGGGAUGCAGAGGAGACUGGAAUUCCCGGUGUAGCGGUGAAAUGUGUAGAGAUAUUACAUGGAAUACCAAUUGCGAAGGCAGGUUACUACCAAUGGAUUGACGCUGAUGGACGAAAGCGUGGGUAGCGAACAGG